GAGAGAAAUGAGGUAAACCGAGGUGAGGUGAGAGACACCAAGGUUUACCAACUU
rnacentral:sRNA from 1 species